rnacentral:lncRNA from 1 species
AAGGUCUUGUGGAAGUUAUUGCCUUGACAUGUUGACUGAGCUAUUUCCCCUCCAGGACUUGACAUUUAUCCCCUGUCUUCCAACACCUUGUCGUGGGGGAAGAAGGACGUCUAUAGGAAUGAGACCUGUGCCACUGGGGCUUUGUGAGGGGGAGCCCUGACAUCUUAGAGAUGCCCUGAAAGCCCGGCUACAGAGAAAUCUCCUGGGACACAACAAGUUCUC